UACGUAGGGGGCAAGCGUUGUCCGGAAUCAUUGGGCGUAAAGAGCGUGUAGGCGGCUCGGUAAGUCCGCUGUGAAAGUCCAGGGCUCAACCCUGGAAUGCCGGUGGAAACUGUCGGGCUAGAGUCCGGAAGAGGUGAGUGGAAUUCCUGGUGUAGCGGUGAAAUGCGCAGAUAUCAGGAGGAACACCAAUGGCGAAGGCAGCUCACUGGGACGGUACUGACGCUGAGACGCGAAAGCGUGGGAG
rnacentral:rRNA from 1 species